AUUGAACGCUGGCGGCAGGCCUAACACAUGCAAGUCGAGCGGAUGAAGGGAGCUUGCUCCUGGAUUCAGCGGCGGACGGGUGAGUAAUGCCUAGGAAUCUGCCUGGUAGUGGGGGAUAACGUCCGGAAACGGGCGCUAAUACCGCAUACGUCCUGAGGGAGAAAGUGGGGGAUCUUCGGACCUCACGCUAUCAGAUGAGCCUAGGUCGGAUUAGCUAGUUGGUGGGGUAAAGGCCUACCAAGGCGACGAUCCGUAACUGGUCUGAGAGGAUGAUCAGUCACACUGGAACUGAGACACGGCCCAGACCCCGACGGGAGGCAGCGGUGGGGAAUUUUGGACAAGGGGCGAAAGCCUGAUCCAGCCAUGCCGGGUGGGUGAAGAAGGUCUUCGGAUUGUAAAGCCCUUUAAGUUGGGAGGAAGGGCAGUAAGUUAAAACCUUGCUUUUUUGACUUUACCAACAGAAUAAGCACCGGCUAACUUCGU
rnacentral:rRNA from 1 species